rnacentral:tRNA from 1 species
UCUUGGUGGCUCAGACGGUAAAGCAUCUGCCUGCAAUGCAGGAGACCCGGGUUUGAUUCCUGGGUCGGGAA